AUUGAACGCUGGCGGCAUGCCUUACACAUGCAAGUCGAGCGGAGUGAUGGUGCUUGCACUAUCACUUAGCGGCGGACGGGUGAGUAAUGCUUAGGAAUCUGCCAUUUAGUGGGGGACAACAUUCCGAAAGGAAUGCUAAUACCGCAUACGUCCUACGGGAGAAAGCAGGGGAUCUUCGGACCUUGCGCUAAAUGAUGAGCCUAAGUCGGAUUAGCUAGUUGGUGGGGUAAAGGCCUACCAAGGCGACGAUCUGUAGCGGGUCUGAGAGGAUGAUCCGCCACACUGGGACUGAGACACGGCCCAGACUCCUACGGGAGGCAGCAGUGGGGAAUAUUGGACAAUGGGGGGAACCCUGAUCCAGCCAUGCCGCGUGUGUGAAGAAGGCCUUAUGGUUGUAAAGCACUUUAAGCGAGGAGGAGGCUACUGAGACUAAUACUCUUGGAUAGUGGACGUUACUCGCAGAAUAAGCACCGGCUAACUCUGUGCCAGCCGCCGCCGUAAUAC
rnacentral:rRNA from 1 species